CACUUCCUGAAGUUGUUGUAAAUCUUCUAAGUAGUGGUUACUGCAUAACCAAGUCCUCCUGCCCCCAGUCCAGAGGCAGCAAGUAAGGAGGCCAGAGAGAGUCCAACUACUACUGGCAGAAAGAUGGCCCAUCUUGUCCUGGAAAGGGAGGAGUAACAAGCCAUGUUAAUUUGCUGGGAGCCAUUAGCCAAGUAGCUGUGUGGUGGCUCGUGAUUGUGCGCCCAGCCAGACUGUGGCAUUUGGCGUCCCGUGCGGGGAACUUCUGAAGCUUAGAGGUAAGUGAAAUUUCUCACCCUUGGGGAAGAGAGAAAGAAUGGGUGAACAUUUCAAAAAACAAUGUGUUAUUGUUUUGAUUUAUUUUGUUUUUAUUUCAAGUUGCCUGUUCUUAGAACUUUCUCAGGCAAACUGGGGAAAAUGGUUGACUCAAGGUUUGAAGUUGUUCGCCUCCCAGCAAGAGAAAUUGUUAGAGGAAGGGGGCACCCCAGUGAGACCAAGAACAAUUAGGGCAUAUGUUGAUACAAUACAAAAAUGUAGCCAAUGGCUUUUUAAAGAUGAGUUAUUAAGUAUAUUAAUGAGACCAUCAUGGUAUCCUGUAGAAGGAUUUUUCUUCAACAAGAAAGAGAUGGCUAGUUCUGUUUACUAUAUUUGUCUAAGAUCUUGGUUUUUACAGACAUCUGAUUAAUUUACAAAGCUGAAGUGUUAAAAUAUCAACCACUAAAUAUAAAAUCAAGUACUCUUUACUUAUUAAGUUCCAUAAGGUAAUAUAUUUAAACAUUAUGUGUGUUUUCAUAAAUUGGUAAAUGGAAAAAUGUUUAAUAUUGCUUUGUGUCUGUGUCUUUGCUAAAACAAGGUUACUAAGUGUUAAGAUUCUAUCAUGUGUAAUUUAUAUACAAAGAGUAGAAAAAUUUUCAUUUGGGUUUCAAUUAUAGUAUUAUAGUAUCAAAACAUGAAAGUCUUUCAUCUUAUUAAAGUGGAGUAAUUUGUCUAAAUCAGAAAUUUUAUAAGAGUUGUUUCAAAAUGUGAAUUUAUAAAAAGGGUUAAUGGUUAAAAAAGAGAGAAAAAGAUUCAAGAUGUGGAAAUAUAUUUUAAUAUAAUAAAAGGUUAAAGGAAAAAGAAAUGUUUCUAGAUGAGAUAAUCUCUGUGUGGUAAAGUAAAAAGUUGUAAAAUGUCAUUUAAAAAGAUUUUGAGGAAACUAGACUUACUUUAAAAGCUUGAGAAAGGAAGAAAGAAGAAAAAGGUAUUUGUACAUGGCAGAUUGAGACAAAGCUUCUCAAUGGAGUUAAAAAAAAAAAAAGCCUUUGGUUGAAGGGCAGCCAUGUAAACUAACAUUGAAGCAAUUUAAACAGAAUCUAAGCCUCGUUUAAAAGAGUGAAGUUGUAGGUGGUGAAAAAGUACAUUUAAAAGUACAGUAUAGAUGAUAAUUAAAAGGCUUUAAAAGGUUAAAUUGAAGGUGGUCGAGAUACCUUCAUGGCAGAAAAAAGAUUGCUUUAUUGCAUCAUUCGAAGCCUAGUUAAUCUUAAAGGCAUUACUUUAAAAAAAAAUGGGAAGAUAAUAGGAUAAAAGAUAUUUAGAUAAAGAAGAUUAAAAAUUUAAAGUGAAAAACUUUAAAGACAGAAGUAUAGAAAGUUAAAAAGAAAAAAGAUAAAGAAGAUGUAGGAAGAUAGAAAAGAUGUAGGAAGACAAGAAUUUUAAACCCACAAAAUAGGAAAAAAAAAACUAGGAGGAAAAUAAGCAACUAAGGGUAAAAAUACAAACCUUAGGAAAAAAAAAAAAAACUAGAAGAUAGAAAUAAGAUAGAAAAUGGUUGAAAAUGUCAAGUAAGGUAUUACACAGAUAGAAAAUGCAAAAAGCUAAGACAACUAUUAGAUACAGACAUACUUAUUAAAGCAAAAAGAGGGAAUUGGAAAGGGGUAUAUAUCCCCCAAAGAUAAACUUAAAAUAAUGCUUUUUACUCUAAACUUUUAAAAUUUGGAUUCAUAGGGACUUAGUGCUGCGGAAAGACACAUGUAUCCAAAAAAUGUACAUAAGCCUAAGGUACUUUGGAAAGAUAUUCUAACAGGACAAUGGAAAGGUCCUGACCCAGUGAUUGUCUGGAGUCGGGGUUUUGUUUGUGUGUUUCCACAGGGAGAACAGCAGCUGAUUUGGAUUCCAGAGAGAUUAACUAAAACAAUUUCUACAGAUGGAAAAGAAGAUGAUUUGACUCAAAUCCAUAACAGCUGAUAUCCAGAACUCCAGCUUGGCCAUUCUUACAUCUGCGACAGUGAUUAACUAGUGAUGCAAUUUUUAUUUCCUUGCCAGCACACCCCAUGUUAAUUGUGGUAGUGCUGACAUAUCUUUGCUGAUGGUGUCACCAGUGAUGCAAUUUUUCCCAAGGAGCCGUCAAUUGGCUUGGUGUCGUGGCAUUUCUGUAUCCUCCUCCCUUCUGCUAGUGAUGGUCUAAAAUUUGGGGGCCAAUGGCUUAUGCUGGACCGGUAGUCAGUGACGGGUAUGAUCCAAUUGCAGUGGUAUCAACCUAAGACAGGAGGCUGACGCCUAAAGGUCAGUUUUCCGAUGACGGGUAAGAACCAUAUGUUGAAUUGGACAACCUACCAGUCACGGUCCAUAAGCCACAUUAACCUCACUCCCCCACUGGCACCAAGGCCAAAUUUGGGGGCCAACAGAGGUGAGGCAAAGAACCUCACCCCCCCAGUGGUGCAUAGACCUAUCCACAAGUAUGGCUGUAUGCUGGACCGGUAGUCAGUGACGGGUAUGAUUCAAUUGCAGUGGUAUCAACCUAAGACAGGAGGCUGACGCCUAAAGGUCAGUUUUCCGAUGACGGGUAAGAACCAUAUGUUGAAUUGGACAACCUACCAGGCACGGUCCUUAAGCCACAUUGCUUGUUGUUUAAUUAAUCCGAAGGGGGGAGAUGCUGGGAGCCAUUAGCCAAGUAGGUAUGACAAUUUCCUUGCCAGCGUACCCCAUGUUGCAGUGACAUUGAAUGUACGUGACCUUGCUCAAGGACCAAGGCAGAUUAGGGUGUUCCCGGUUUUAAGAUAAUCGUGUUUAGGGUGUUCCCAGUUUAGGUUCCAGGUUUAAGGUUUAAGAUUAUUCCUGCUGGGAAUAGGGCGUAUCCUGCUGCCUGAGUUCCCCUUAAGUUCUCACGGGAUUCAGACAAUAUAUUUUGGAGAUAGAAGCCCAGUGGGAGUGGAUUUGGGCAGAGAACGUGGAUUUCCCCAGAACGUGAUUGUAGAUGGCUGGUGUGAGUUCUGGAAUAAAGAGUUGCUGUUUGAAUCUACAA